GACAUAACCUCAAGUUUACGGGCGGGUCGUUAAUCCUAUAGCGCUACAUAUGUCAAGGUUUGGCUCGUACGAAGUUAAUGAUAAGUUCAACACAUAAGAAUAACCCAAGUUUAAAGUAUCAAGUCAUCACGUAUACAAGCAUGUUAUAGGAACGUUCAUGUGUUUAACAAAGUGUUCAUGUGUAAGUUAAUAGGUAAACAUGUUACACCCCAAAAGUGGUAAAAAGAUUUAG
rnacentral:lncRNA from 1 species